GGAGGAGAUCAGGGUUAAAGCCUGUACUGAGAUCAGGGUUAAAGCCUGUACUGAGAUCAGGCUGGGAGGAGGAGAACAGCUCAGGGUUAAAGCCUGUACUGAGAUCAGGCUGAGAGGAGGAGAACAGCUCAGGGUUAAAGCCUGUACUGAGAUCAGGCUGGGAGGAGGAGAACAGCUCAGGGUUAAAGCCUGUACUGAGAUCAGGCUGGGAGGAGGAGAACAGCUCAGGGUUAAAGCCUGUACUGAGAUCAGGCUGAGAGGAGGAGAACAGCUCAGGGUUAAAGCCUGUACUGAGAUCAGGCUGGGAGGAGGAGAACAGGGUUAAAGCCUGUACUGAGAUCAGGCUGGGAGGAGGAGAACAGCUCAGGGUUAAAGCCUGUACUGAGAUCAGGCUGGGAGGAGGAGAACAGGGUUAAAGCCUGUACUGAGAUCAGGCUGGGAGGAGGAGAUCAGGGUUAAAGCCUGUACUGAGAUCAGGCUGGGAGGAGGAGAUCAGGGUUAAAGCCUGUUCUGAGAUCAGGCUGAGAGGAGGAGAUCAGGGUUAAAGCCUGUACUGAGAUCAGGCUGAGAGGAGGAGAACAGGGUUAAAGCCUGUACUGAGAUCAGGCUGGGAGGAGAUCAGGGUUAAAGCCUGUACUGAGAUCAGGCUGGGAGGAGGAGAUCAGGGUUAAAGCCUGUACUGAGAUCAGGCUGGGAGGAGAACAGCUCAGGGUUAAAGCCUGUACUGAGAUCAGGCUGGGAGGAGGAGAACAGGGUUAAAGCCUGUACUGAGAUCAGGCUGGGAGGAGAACAGCUCAGUGUUAAAGCCUGUACUGAGAUCAGGCUGGGAGGAGGAGA